UAAGAAAAAAAAAAUAGAGUUAACAAUUUUCAAAGCACAUUAUAUGACAGUUAUUUAAUAAGUUGAAAUUUUGCACCAAAUAAUAAAAAAAUCUUCUGUAAGAUUUUCUUUAACGGUUUGCAAAAUAUAAAAUCUACACACUUUGUUAUUUUUAAUUAAUAAUGUCUGACAGAAAAAUCUGCAUCAAAAUUUGUUCCUUGCUUUUGCAUGCAAGACUAGUAGUAUACAGUUUACACAGACAUUGUUUAAACUUAUGGUUUUGCACUAGUUCUAGCAUUUUGUCUAGAACCAUAAAAAAUAUGAACAAAUAAAUAAGUUACAUUUUUUUCACAUGAAUAAGUGACUAACUAUGGCUGUCUUUCCUGCAUUUUAAAAGGAGUUUUGUCUAUCUCUAAAAUUCUACUGACUAGUUUUAAUUUUAUUUGCAAUU